CGGCGGGCGGCGAGCUGCGCGCGGGUGAGAGCGCCUUGAGGUGCGGCGCGUGCGCACUGCUGCCCGCGCCCUCGGGCGGUCGGGAGGGCGGAUCGACUGCGCAAGUCAGAAAAAUUGUCACCUCUGGCCUCAGAUGGCCUUAUCCUGGUAUCCUCCUAUGGACCUACUUUUUACAAUUCUUGUCAGAUUUCAGCUCCACUCUGGGUUUCUCUGUCCUGGAAAUUGCCUGAAACGUGCUCUGUGAACCAGGCUGGCCUUGAACUUAGAGAUCCCACCUGCUUCUGCCUCCAAGUGCUGAGAUUAAAGCCUGCAAAUUCACAGUACCCUCAACAGUGACCUGAUGAUGACAUCUGGAAUUAUGAGCAGACUCUGAUGCAACAAAAAUUUAAAUGCUGUGAAAAACAGACAGGAAGACUGAGACAGUAAAGAGGCCAAUGAUCCAAGUUUAUGCUAUCAGUGUCUGAGAUACAAUUAAGUCACCUCUUUGGGUCACAUUUCCCUUGACUAGUCACUGAAGAUUAUGGUCCAGGUAGCCCUUCCUUCACUGCUUCCAGACAUGUCUCUGAAGCCAACUAGGGAUUGUGAAGAUUUACCAUAUGGAAAGAAAUUUUUGAAAAAGACUUAUUCUUCAAGUUGACCAAGCUUAAGAGAUACUGCACUGAGAAUUCACCCACUACAGAGCUGGUACCUGGCCUUCAGGGUAAACCGUGAUGUGUGCCUACUCCCCUCAGCAGCGUAUUUGACCUCAAUCACCCACGUUUUUGUUCAGAUUCAUGGUUCUAAAUCUGAUGGGAAAUCUACUAUUGGACCAUUUGAUGCUUCCUAGAGAAAGGCCAAGCCACCUGUCAAACCCAUGGGCAACACAGAAAUGGCUAAGCAGAAGAAGCCAGGUAAUAUCCCUAGCUCCUCCGGGGUGGCAUAAUCCAGCUGCGAGGAGGCUGAGGUCCCUGUGCUCUGGCUUGAUGCAGAGGAUUCCCUGAGCUCUGCCUCGAUGUUUGGCUGUGGGUCUCCGCACCUGCUCCUAUUAAUUGCUGGAUGAAGUCUCUCUGAUGAUGACCAUGCUGGGCCAGAAGGGUCAAGGACACCACAGAAUCAGCCAACCAGGUCACAUGGGGACUUGUACAGACUGAAGUGACAGUCAGGGAGCCUGCAUGGCGCUGACCUUGGUCCUUUGCAUAUGUUAUGGUUGUAUAGCUUGGUGCUCUUGUGGGACUCUAACAGUAGAGCAUAGAGCAGGGGCUGUUUCUGUAAUUCUUUUGCCUGCUCUUGGGACCCUUUUCCUCCUACUGGGUUGCCUCAUCCAGCUUUGAUAUGAGGAUACGUGCCCAGUCUUGUUAUGCUAUGUUUGGUUGGUAUCCCUGGGAGAUCUGCUCUUUUCUGAAGUGAAAUGGAGGAGGCAUAGAUAUGGGGGAAGAAAGAAGGUGGGAGGAGGGACUGGAAUGACAGGAGGAAAGGAGGGGAAACUGUGGUCAGGAUAAGAAUGAAUGAAUAAAUAUUUUUAAAAAUAUUGCAUUUGGGAAUAUAGUGUAGAAUUUCUGCCUAGAAUGAGAAGCUUUGGAUUCAAUUUCCAGCACAGCAAGAAAUGAAACAAAAAGACUUAGUUUCAUUUUCCUGUUUUCUUUUAAAAUAUAUCUACUAGCAUUCACAAAUGAGGGGCUUUUGUUUUACAAAGUUCAUAAUUAAUAUGGAUGAAGAGAUGGCUCAGAGGAUAAAGUGCUUGCUUUACAUGUAUGAGGACCAGAGUUCAAUCCCCAGCACCCAUGUGAAAAAGCCAGUGUGGUGGUCAGCGUCCAUCAUCCCAACCCUUGAGAAGAGGAACGGGAGGAUCUCUCGCACUUAUUGGAUAUUUCCAAUUCGGAGGCACAAAGAAUUGAGAACUUGGGGAUCCACUGAAGUCUGAGGCAUGGUGGUACCAGAAGAAAUAAAGGGGCCAUCAGCAUGAAACUGGUCCCCCAUUGACAGCACUCUGACUUCUCCGUCAGGCUCUAUCAACAUGUCUACGGUGAGGUUGGUGAUGCUGUCUGCAGGCACCUUGUGAUGGUCACCGGGAACCCACGCUUCAGACCUACCACAGCCUGACCUGCAGUGUCCUCUGCACUCUGUGAACUUCAGUCUUUCUUUGAUGCUGCCAUCUCUUUCGUCCGUGCCCACUGUGCUGACAGACAGCUGACUCCAACAGCUUUGACAAGAAAGCCCAAACUCUCGACUGAAACUGUAAAGGUGGGAUUUGAAGUGGCGGGACAAGUUCUAGAGUCAGCCUUGUGCAACCUGAAAUGCUGCAAACCACAGUGUCUCAUGGAGGCUUAGAUUUUUCAAAGACCCACUUUAAUAAGGUUCUUAAAUGCUUCAACCUCCCUGAUAGCUCAGGGAUCAAAGGUAGAGGAGGAAGAUGGCUAAUAGGAAAAGAGGGACGUGGAUCUCUUUAGAAGUAGUUCUUUGAGGUGAUUCCAAUCUUCAUUGUCAGAAGUCCAGUCCAUUUGAAUCAGUAGCAGCAGCCUGAUCCAGAGGAAACUGAGAGGCUUUGCCGGUCAGCAUGGAUUCCUUGGUGCAUUUCUCUCCACUAAGUUAUGACAAGUGAAUAUCAAGGAAGGAAGCAAGGUGAACCAAUGAAUAAUGUUAUCAGGGAAGACCAGAGUCAGUGAAGGCCAAUGAAGACCACAAGGUCUUAAUUGCAACCAGCCAAAGCUCAGUCAAAAAUUAGAAGAGGAGGAAGGAGGGGUGAUCUUUGUGUUCCAAGUCUGAGCCUACCUCUAAGACUAGUGUCUGCAUAAGACUCCACAGUGGCGCCCGCCCCAUACACAGCCCUGCUUUCAUCUGUUGUCUACGGUGCACCAAUAAGAGAAUUCACAGCAUCCUGUCACAAACUGCUAUGCAAAUGAUGCCAUUUGUAACGUUAUCAUUGCUGCGAUGAAGCACCAUCACCAAAACAACUCGGGGAAGAAAGGGUCUAUUCAGUUUCCACUUCCGCCUCACUGUCCAGCACGAAGAAGCCAGGACAGGAACCCAGCCAGAGGCAGGAGAUGAUGUAGAGGCCAUAGGAGAGGUGCUGCUUACUGGUUUGCUUCUGUUGGCUUGCUCAGCCAGCCUUCUUAUAGAACCCAGGACCACCAGCCCCAGGGAUGGCACCAUCCACAAUGGGCUGGGCCCUCCCACAUCAAUCACUAAUUAAGAAAAUGCCCUACAGUCUUGCCUACAGCCAGAUCUUAUGAAGACAUUUUCUCAGUUGAGUUCCCUCCUCUCGGAUGAGUAUAGGUUGUGUCAAGUUGACAUAAAACUGUGCUGCACAUCUAUUCUUGGACUACCGAAUGGAUUCUUACUUUUAACCAAAGAGAAGAUUUAUGGUUCUGCUGAGGUAUAAAACUGCAAAAUUAAAAUGGUUUUUAUUUAAAUGCACAAUGUUUUACCCUGAAUUAUGCCUAUUUGGCAAAGGAUUUUGAGGAUGCUACAUGAAGUGACAAUGUGGAAGAGAUCAAAGUAGCCACAGUUGGGGUCCCCCAAAACUCGUUCAGCUAUGGGUUAUUUAAUAAAGGUGAAAAUAAAUUGUAUAAACUCUCUAA